rnacentral:rRNA from 1 species
GACGAACGCUGGCGGCGUGCCUAAUACAUGCAAGUAGAACGCUGAAGGAGGAGCUUGCUUCUCUGGAUGAGUUGCGAACGGGUGAGUAACGCGUAGGUAACCUGCCUGGUAGCGGGGGAUAACUAUUGGAAACGAUAGCUAAUACCGCAUAAGAGUAGAUGUCGCAUGACAUUUGCUUAAAAGGUGCAAUUGCAUCACUACCAGAUGGACCUGCGUUGUAUUAGCUAGUUGGUGAGGUAACGGCUCACCAAGGCAACGAUACAUAGCCGACCUGAGAGGGUGAUCGGCCACACUGGGACUGAGACACGGCCCAGACUCCUACGGGAGGCAGCAGUAGGGAAUCUUCGGCAAUGGACGGAAGUCUGAACGAGCAACGCCGCGUGAGUGAAGAAGGGUUUCGGAUCGUAAAGCUCUGUUGUAAGAGAAGAACGAGUGUGAGAGUGGAAAGUUCACACUGUGACGGUAUCUUACCAGAAAGGGACGGCUAACUACGUG